rnacentral:rRNA from 1 species
UGGGGAAUAUUGCACAAUGGGCGCAAGCCUGAUGCAGCCAUGCCGCGUGUAUGAAGAAGGCCUUCGGGUUGUAAAGUACUUUCAGUCGGGAGGAAGGUGUCAAGGUUAAUAACCUUGGCAAUUGACGUUACCGACAGAAGAAGCACCGGCUAACUCCGUGCCAGCAGCCGCGGUAAUACGGAGGGUGCAAGCGUUAAUCGGAAUUACUGGGCGUAAAGCGCACGCAGGCGGUUUGUUAAGUCAGAUGUGAAAUCCCCGGGCUCAACCUGGGAACUGCAUCUGAUACUGGCAAGCUUGAGUCUCGUAGAGGGGGGUAGAAUUCCAGGUGUAGCGGUGAAAUGCGUAGAGAUCUGGAGGAAUACCGGUGGCGAAGGCGGCCCCCUGGACGAAGACUGACGCUCAGGUGCGAAAGCGUGGGGAGCAAACAGGA